rnacentral:rRNA from 1 species
GUCAGGACGAACGCUGGCGGCGUGCUUAACACAUGCAAGUCGAACGAUGAACCUCCUUCGGGAGGGGAUUAGUGGCGAACGGGUGAGUAACACGUGGGCAAUCUGCCCUGCACUCUGGGACAAGCCCUGGAAACGGGGUCUAAUACCGGAUACUGACCCGCUUGGGCAUCCAAGCGGUUCGAAAGCUCCGGCGGUGCAGGAUGAGCCCGCGGCCUAUCAGCUUGUUGGUGAGGUAAUGGCUCACCAAGGCGACGACGGGUAGCCGGCCUGAGAGGGCGACCGGCCACACUGGGACUGAGACACGGCCCAGACUCCUACGGGAGGCAGCAGUGGGGAAUAUUGCACAAUGGGCGAAAGCCUGAUGCAGCGACGCCGCGUGAGGGAUGACGGCCUUCGGGUUGUAAACCUCUUUCAGCAGGGAAGAAGCGAAAGUGACGGUACCUGCAGAAGAAGCGCCGGCUAACUACGUGCCAGCAGCCGCGGUAAUACGUAGGGCGCGAGCGUUGUCCGGAAUUAUUGGGCGUAAAGAGCUCGUAGGCGGCUUGUCACGUCGGUUGUGAAAGCCCGGGGCUUAACCCCGGGUCUGCAGUCGAUACGGGCAGGCUAGAGUUCGGUAGGGGAGAUCGGAAUUCCUGGUGUAGCGGUGAAAUGCGCAGAUAUCAGGAGGAACACCGGUGGCGAAGGCGGAUCUCUGGGCCGAUACUGACGCUGAGGA